GAUGAAGAACGUAGCGAAAUGCGAUACGUAAUGUGAAUUGCAGAAUUCAGUGAAUCAUCGAAUCUUUGAACGCAUAUUGCGCUCUCUGGUAUUCCGGAGAGCAUGCUUGUUUGAGUAUCAGUAAACACCUCAACUCCCCUUUCUUUUUUUGAAAUGGGAGCUGGACUUGAGUGCUCCCAACGCUUUUCUCACCGAAAAGUGGCGGGUUACUUGAAAUGCAGGUGCAGCUGGACUUUUCUCUGAGCUAAAAGCAUAUCUAUUUAGUCUGCCUAAAAAACAGAUUAUUACCUUUGCUGCAGCUAACAUAAAGGAGAUUAGUUCUUGUGCUGACUGAUGCAGGAUUCACAGAGACAGCUUCGGCUGGCCUUUGUAAACUCGAUCUCAAAUCAAGUAAGACUACCCGCUGAACUUAAGCAUAUCAAUAAGCGGAGGA
rnacentral:misc_RNA from 1 species